rnacentral:rRNA from 1 species
GAUGAACGCUGGCGGCGUGCCUAAUACAUGCAAGUCGAGCGAACGGACGAGAAGCUUGCUUCUCUGAUGUUAGCGGCGGACGGGUGAGUAACACGUGGAUAACCUACCUAUAAGACUGGGAUAACUUCGGGAAACCGGAGCUAAUACCGGAUAAUAUUUUGAACCGCAUGGUUCAAAAGUGAAAGACGGUCUUGCUGUCACUUAUAGAUGGAUCCGCGCUGCAUUAGCUAGUUGGUAAGGUAACGGCUUACCAAGGCAACGAUGCAUAGCCGACCUGAGAGGGUGAUCGGCCACACUGGAACUGAGACACGGUCCAGACCCCUACGGGAGGCAGCAGUAGGGAAUCUUCCGCAAUGGGCGAAAGCCUGACGGAGCAACGCCGCGUGAGUGAUGAAGGUCUUCGGAUCGUAAAACUCUGUUAUUAGGGAAGAACAUAUGUGUAAGUAACUGUGCACAUCUUGACGGUACCUAAUCAGAAAGCCACGGCUAACUACGUGCCAGCAGCCGCGGUAAUACGUAGGUGGCAAGCGUUAUCCGGAAUUAUUGGGCGUAAAGCGCGCGUAGGCGGUUUUUUAAGUCUGAUGUGAAAGCCCACGGCUCAACCUUGGAGGGUCAUUGGAAACUGGAAAACUUGAAUGCAGAAGAGGAAAGUGGAAUUCCAUGUGUAGCGGUGAAAUGCGCAGAGAUAUGGAGGAACACCAGUGGCGAAGGCGACUUUCUGGUCUGUAACUGACGCUGAUGUGCGAAAGCGUGGGGAUCAAACAGGAUUAGAUACCCUGGUAGUCCACGCCGUAAACGAUGAGUGCUAAGUGUUAGGGGGUUUCCGCCCCUUAGUGCUGCAGCUAACGCAUUAAGCACUCCGCCUGGGGAGUACGACCGCAAGGUUGAAACUCAAAGGAAUUGACGGGGACCCGCACAAGCGGUGGAGCAUGUGGUUUAAUUCGAAGCAACGCGAAGAACCUUACCAAAUCUUGACAUCCUUUGACAACUCUAGAGAUAGAGCCUUCCCCUUCGGGGGACAAAGUGACAGGUGGUGCAUGGUUGUCGUCAGCUCGUGUCGUGAGAUGUUGGGUUAAGUCCCGCAACGAGCGCAACCCUUAAGCUUAGUUGCCAUCAUUAAGUUGGGCACUCUAAGUUGACUGCCGGUGACAAACCGGAGGAAGGUGGGGAUGACGUCAAAUCAUCAUGCCCCUUGUGAUUUGGGCUACACACGUGCUACAAUGGACAAUACAAAGGGCAGCGAAACCGUGAGGUCAAGCAAAUCCCAUAAAGUUGUUCUCAGUUCGGAUUGUAGUCUGCAACUCGACUACAUGAAGCUGGAAUCGCUAGUAAUCGUAGAUCAGCAUGCUACGGUGAAUACGUUCCCGGGUCU